UGUGUUAGUGAGGACGCUGAACCUCGAGGGAUAGACUUUAGGCGGUAUGCUAGUGAGAAUGCUAAGCCCCUAAAGGAGGUGAAUUGUAAGAUCCCACAUCUGUUGGAAGGGAAACAAAAUAUUCUUUAAACGUGUGGAAACCUUUUCCUAAUAGAUACUGGGAAAUCAAGAAGAGAAAGU